AUGCUUACUUUGGCACCUACACUAAAAUUUAAACAAUACAGAGAAAAGUAGCAUGGCCCCUGCACAAAGAUGACACACACAUCUGUGAAGCAUUCCAUAUUUUU